CAGAGAUUCAGCUUUCUCCAUCUCUGCUGCCCUUUCCAUCACUCCUCCAUAUCUCCUUCUUGGGUUUUCAAUUUAAAAUAUCCGCCCUGAGUCUGAACAUCCAAGACAUAAUGGACUUGCCUGUCGGGCUGUAGGGGGCAUCAUCAGAACUUUUUCUUUUCUUUGAUCGUGAUUUGAAUACUGGAUUAUCUUCAUCGGAUUCCAAAGAUGGGUAAACUAAACCAGGAACAAAAAAUAGCUUUUAUUGCAGCAGUAUUAAACAGGAGUUUGAGGGAGGGGAAAAAACAAGGCUGGAUUAAAGCACAGGCUCACUGCAGGCCAGUGCCGAGGACCCCUGCUCCUGGACUGAUGUGAUCACAUCAGAAUCUCAACUUCAUUUUAAAAAAGGCAAGAACAGGGAUUCAGAAUUGCUGCUUUCUGUAGACUACAAUGGACUUCUUACUCCCCCCGAUCCCAAUAUAUGCUCCUGGAACAGAAGUCAGGAUCUACUGAAAAGGAAGAGGAAGGAAGGCCUUCCUUACGUUCGAGUACUGGCUGAAAGGACUGCUAUAUCAGGAGGUCAGAGCUGCUUGGAAGAGAGCUGAGGUGAGAAUAAGGUGGGAUCUAAGUACUUCCAGACAGAGGGUAAAAUGAGAUGUUUCAGUUAGAGGGGAAAGUGAUGGAAUAUUAACUCUGAGUGCUCACAGGACUAAGAAGCAAAUGUCCUUGUCCUCUGACUCUGUUGGCCUAAAAACCCUUUCACUACAUCUUUGCAAGUAAAUUGCAGUCACACAAGAGUCUAUUCUCCAUCCAUAUUGAAUCCUUCAUUAGCAUCAAAGGAAGUUAGUUAUACCCCUAUAUUUAGAGAGGACUAGAUCCUCUCCUUCCCCAGAGAGGAACAGAAACUGCUUAAAGAUGUAAAGACAAUCCCAACUCCAUAAAUUGGAGGAAUUUUAUAGCAAGGUCAAAAAGAGCCCAACUUUUAGUGCUACUGUAUGAG